AUUGAACGCUGGCGGCAUGCUUUACACAUGCAAGUCGAGCGGCAGCGCGGGGGCAACCCUGGCGGCGAGCGGCGAACGGGUGAGUAAUGCAUCGGAACGUACCCUGGAGUGGGGGAUAACGCCGCGAAAGCGGCGCUAAUACCCGCAUAUGCUCUGAGGAGGAAAGUGGGGGACCGCAAGGCCUCACGCUCUGGGAGCGGCCGAUGUCCGAUUAGCUAGUUGGUGAGGUAAAGGCUUACCAAGGCGACGAUCGGUAGCUGGUCUGAGAGGAUGAUCAGCCACACUGGGACUGAGACACGG
rnacentral:rRNA from 1 species